GUCCACGCCGUAACGAUGGGUGCUAGGUGUGGCGGUGUCGACUCCGUCCGUGCCGAAGCUAACGCAUUAAGCACCCCGCCUGGGGAGUACGGCCGCAAGGCUAAACUCAAGGAAUUGACGGGGCCCGCACAAGCAGCGGAGCAUGUGGUUCAAUUCGACGCAACGCGAAGAACCUUACCUAGGCUUGACAUGCACUGGAAUUGCAUAGAAAUAUGUAAGCCCUUCGGGGCUAGUGCACAGGUGGUGCAUGGCUGUCGU
rnacentral:rRNA from 1 species